rnacentral:lncRNA from 1 species
GAAGAGUCAUGGCAUGGCAUUUUCGUGCACUUGCGCUUGAUUUCAAGUUGAUUGUGAUGUACUAAGAGAAAGUACUUGGAAUUCUGCCUACGCACGGUUUGAUAAAUCCGGAUUUUUUUGUGCGUACGGCAUUUUUUAAGUCUGAGCGUACGGAACAUUUUAGUAGGAAGUCCACGCAAGUCUUUGUACAUGAGACGUAAAAUGAUUAAAACAGGAUCUGAUCAGUUUAUUUAAUCAAACUUCCUUUUUAUUAUUUGUCUCUUUUUUUGUUUCUGUCUCAUCAUCCUUCUUAACCACUUCUCUUUUUGUCUUUAACCCACCAGGAAGUUCCAACACAAAUGAUGAGAUUAUAUACUCAGAAGUCCGAAUUGUACAAUCAGACAAGACAGUUGUCGUGACAACCCCUAAUGCUGAUCCCAGUCAUCCCAACCGGCCUGGAUCACAUGACCCUGCUGACUCCUCACCUGAGGCAGUGACCCCUGCCUUGGCUAAACAGAGACUGCUGCUGUGUUGUCUGUGUGCCGUCUUGUUUGCUGCAGGCCUCAUCGUUACAGUUCUCUAUGUCCUUGGUAAAAUUUCACCAGAGGAAAAGUUUGUUUCAGGUUAGUGUCAGAAUCUGCAACCAUGGAAUGACAUGUAAUAAAACAGUCAGGCUUUUGAAUUCUAAAGGAAAG